UGCAGUCGAGCGGUAACAGGGGGUGCUUGCACCCCGCUGACGAGCGGCGGACGGGUGAGUAAUGCAUAGGAAACUGCCCAGUAGUGGGGGAUAGCCCGGGGAAACCCGGAUUAAUACCGCGUACGCCCUUCGGGGGAAAGCAGGGGAUCUUCGGACCUUGCGCUAUUGGAUGUGCCUAUGUCGGAUUAGCUAGUUGGUGGGGUAAAGGCCUACCAAGGCGACGAUCCGUAGCUGGUCUGAGAGGAUGAUCAGCCACAUCGGGACUGAGACACGGCCCGAACUCCUACGGGAGGCAGCAGUGGGGAAUAUUGGACAAUGGGGGCAACCCUGAUCCCAGCCAUGCCGCGUGUGUGAAGAAGGCUUUCGGGUUGUAAAGCACUUUCAGUGAGGAGGAAAACUCUGCGACUAAUACUCGUAGGGCUUGACGUUACUCACAGAAGAAGCACCGGCUAACUCCGUGCCAGCAGCCGCGGUAAUACGGAGGGUGCAAGCGUUAAUCGGAAUUACUGGGCGUAAAGCGCGCGUAGGUGGUUUGAUAAGCGAGAUGUGAAAGCCCCGGGCUUAACCUGGGAACGGCAUUUCGAACUGUCAGGCUAGAGUAUGGUAGAGGGUAGUGGAAUUUCCUGUGUAGCGGUGAAAUGCGUAGAUAUAGGAAGGAACACCAGUGGCGAAGGCGGCUACCUGGACCAAUACUGACACUGAGGUGCGAAAGCGUGGGGAGCAAACAGGAUUAGAUACCCUGGUAGUCCACGCCGUAAACGAUGUCUACUAGCCGUUGGGACUCUUGAAGUCUUAGUGGCGCAGCUAACGCACUAAGUAGACCGCCUGGGGAGUACGGCCGCAAGGUUAAAACUCAAAUGAAUUGACGGGGGCCCGCACAAGCGGUGGAGCAUGUGGUUUAAUUCGACGCAACGCGAAGAACCUUACCUGGCCUUGACAUGCAGAGAACUUUCCAGAGAUGGAUUGGUGCCUUCGGGAACUCUGACACAGGUGCUGCAUGGCCGUCGUCAGCUCGUGUCGUGAGAUGUUGGGUUAAGUCCCGUAACGAGCGCAACCCCUAUCCCUAGUUGCUAGCAGUUCGGCUGAGAACUCUAGGGAGACUGCCGGUGACAAACCGGAGGAAGGUGGGGAUACGUCAGGUCAUCAUGGCCCUUACGGCCAGGGCUACACACGUGCUACAAUGGUGCGCACAGAGGGCUGCAAACCCGCGAGGGGGAGCCAAUCUCACAAAACGCAUCGUAGUCCGGAUCGCAGUCUGCAACUCGACUGCGUGAAGUCGGAAU
rnacentral:rRNA from 1 species